GACAGAGGGUGCAAACGCUGUUCGGAAUGACUGGGCGUAAAGCGCGUGUAGGCGGCUCGGCAAGUCGGAUGUGAAAGCCCUGGGCUCAACCCAGGAAGUGCACUCGAAACUGCCGAGCUGGAGUCCCGGAGAGGAAGGCGGAAUUCUCGGUGUAGAGGUGAAAUUCGUAGAUAUCGAGAGGAACACCGGUGGCGAAGGCGGCCUUCUGGACCAUAACUGACACUGAGAGACGAAAGCCAGGGGAGCAAACGGG
rnacentral:rRNA from 1 species